rnacentral:rRNA from 1 species
AUUGAACGCUGGCGGCAGGCUUAACACAUGCAAGUCGAGCGGAGCGGCGGACGGGUGAGUAAUGCUUAGGAAUCUGCCUAUUAGUGGGGGACAACAUAUCGAAAGGGAUGCUAAUACCGCAUACUAAUAGAUGAGCAUAAUUCGGGUUAGCUAGUUGGUGGGGUAAAGGCCUACCAAGGCGACGAUCUGUAGCGGUUCUGAGAGGAUGAUCCGCCACACUGGGACUGGGGCACGGCCCAGACUCCUACGGGAGGCAGCAGUGGGGAAUAUUGGAACAUGGGGGGAACCCUGGUCCAACCAUGCCGCGGGUGAGGAGAAGGCCUUAUGGUUUUAAAGCACUUUAAGCGAGGAGGCGUUACUCGCAGAAUAAGCACCGGCUAACUCUGUGCCAGCAGCCGCGGUAAUUC